GAGUUUGAUCGUGGCUCAGAGUGAACGCUGGCGGUAGGCCUAACACAUGCAAGUCGAACGGCAGCACAGUAAGAGCUUGCUCUUAUGGGUGGCGAGUGGCGGACGGGUGAGGAAUACAUCGGAAUCUACUUUUUCGUGGGGAUAACGUAGGGAAACUUACGCUAAUACCGCAUACGACCUACGGGUGAAAGCAGGGGAUCUUCGGACCUUGCGCGAUUGAAUGAGCCGAUGUCGGAUUAGCUAGUUGGCGGGGUAAAGGCCCACCAAGGCGACGAUCCGUAGCUGGUCUGAGAGGAUGAUCAGCCACACUGGAACUGAGACACGGUCCAGACUCCUACGGGAGGCAGCAGUGGGGAAUAUUGGACAAUGGGCGCAAGCCUGAUCCAGCCAUACCGCGUGGGUGAAGAAGGCCUGGUUGUAAG
rnacentral:rRNA from 1 species